rnacentral:lncRNA from 1 species
GGAAGAGUCGGCGGUGCCAGGAGAUUUUGAUCAGGGGACUCAGCACCCCAGCGUGUAGGUUGUGAUUCGGAUCCAUGUUUGAGUCAAUCUAUAAUCUCUGUAAGAAUCCCUACAUCUGAGCACUUCUAUUUAUACAUAUAUUGGAUUUAUAGUUGGAUAUAUUUUAUCAGUAUGUUGCUAUUUAUUUUUGAGCUUGUAUGACACUAUGAGGUGUGCAUUUUGUUUAUUAUGAAAGUAUUGGAAUAAUUAAAUUGGGAAGGAAUAACAUAUUUUUGAGAAAUUAUGAAAAUAUGUGACGUGAUUGAAAUGUGAUUAAACAUGUAAAACUAGACAUGUAAAAUGGAUUGGACUAACCUUGUCAUGAGAUAGCCUCUACGAGCUUAUGUGUAGGAUAGCUGCCUCGAGCUUAUGCGUGGGAUAGCCUCUACGAGCUUAUGCGUAGGAUAGCCUCCACGGGCUUACGCGUGGGAUAGCCUCUACGAGCUUAUGCGUAGGAUAGCCUCCACGGGCUUACGCGUGGGAUAGCUGCCACGAGCUUAUGCGUGGGAUUUGUGCAGUCUUGGACUGGGUCAUGAACUUGGUUAGUCCAACGCCAGAAGUAAAAAGUCUGAAGACUUGGGAAUCAUGGUAUUACGUGAAUGAAUCACGAAAUGUGAAAAAGGGAUUUAUGUAUACAAAAUGGUUAUUUACAUAUUUGUUGUUUGUUGAGCCUAAAAAGGAUUUGUGUAUAUGUACUGAUUAUAUACACUUGUUGUUGUUGAGCUUUUGAAAAGAUGAAAUGACAUUUAUUGACGUUUUGAUGAAAUGAUAUUAUUUUGAUGUUUUGAUCAUUUUAUCAUAAUUACUGUGUGUGGCUGUUGGGAUUCUUACUGGGCUGGAAAAGCUCAUACUACAUUUACUUUCUUUUUCAGAGGCACUGAAUUUGUAGAGAUCAAUGGGUGGGACGAGAAAUGAGAUCAGCAUGGAGUCUGAUUGCUGGAUAGAUAGGAGUUAAUCUAUCUUUUGUUUAUGGACAUUGAAAAAUUAUGUAAUAAAUCAGUACAUUUUGGUUGGAUUUGAUUUAAUUUCAUUAAUAAUUAAUUUUGGCAUUUAUGGAAUUAUUGGAAUUGUUGUUUAUCUUAGGCCUUGCAUGAUCUUUAGGGCAUUGCUCUAGGGCUCAUGCGGCCGGUCACGUGCCGGACCCGGGAGGUGGGUUCGGGGCGUGACAGAGUGGUAUCAGAGCUUAAGGUUAAGGUAUCCUAGGGUUUAGGUUCAGGUGAGUGUGAGUGGGAAAUUAUGACAGGAAAACUAUCAGAGCCUUGGUUUAUAAUCACCUGAGAUUGUAACAGGAAUGAUGUUGUAAUCUAAGGUUUAAGACCACUAGGGACUGUGGCCUUAGCN